AUGAAGCUGCACUUCAGCAUCCCCGCCGCCGAGGAGCUGCGGGAGAUGCGCGGGGGGCGCUACGUGCUGAGGCAGCUUUUUGGGAGUGCUGUGCCUGCUUUCCCUCCAAAGUUUUACCUGGCAAUGACCAAGUCGAUGGCAGAUGAGAGACAGUCUCAGCUGGAGCAGUACCUUCAGAAUGUUACUUUGGAUUCAAAUAUUACCAACAGUGAUGCCUUCAGAGGGUUUUUCCGAAAGCUACAGCAGGAUACAUUUAAGAUCCAAACCCAGAGAGCCUUUUUGGAUGUUUACCUCGCUGAUGGCAGUAAUAUUAGACUUGAGAUCCGGACAUCGGACAUUGCAGAAAGAAUAUUAGAGGUUACAUUGUGCAAGAUGGGGCUAUCAAGAGAAUUAAUAAACUAUUUUAGCUUAUUUUUCUUUCAAGAUCAUGAUGAUGGAGCGCUCUCUGUGGUGAAAAAAGUGGCAGAAUUUGAACUUCCUUAUGUGAGUCUUCAGAGCAUGAAGGAGUUGCAGUGUAAGCUUGGGAUCAGAAAGUGGUAUAUGGAUCCUUCUCUUGACAUACUGCUGAUGGAUUGUACAGCUUCACUGAAUUUGCUAUAUAUGCAGGCAAUCCAGGAAGUUAAGACGAAUUGGGUAAAACCAACAGAAGGGCAGAUGCAGGAACUUGAAUUUCUACAAAAAAAGGCAAACAAAGCAAAGUUCCUGGAGCUGAUUCGAGAAAUGCAGUUCUAUGGAUAUGUACGGCUCGACUCUUGCAUUUGUGACUAUCCAGAAGAAGGCUGCUCAGCAGACAUCUAUGUUGGCAAUAAUGAGAUUCACUGCGGCAUAAAAUUGCCUACUAACCAAACCAAAGAGGUCAGCUUUAAAAUCAACAGGUUAAGAAGUUGGCAGGUUACUUUUCUUGGUGCUACAAAGGAUGGUGAAGAAGACACUCUGGAGCUUAGAUUUGAGUACAAUGACUCAGGCACAUGGCAGUGGAUAAUUUUGUACACAAAACAGGCCUUUUUGCUCAGUAGCUGCUUGAAGAAAAUGAUAUCAGAACAGAUGAUGAAGGCAGCCAAAGAAGGCCAAGAAAUGGAGAUGAAGAUGCCUGAAUCCACGACAAACAGUCAGAAAUCCAGCAUCCAACAAAAGCAGGUUAGUCACCUACUCCAGAGAGAAUCAGAACAAUGUCCUACGUGUUUGUAAACGACUCUUCCCAGACAAAUGUGCCACUGCUGCAGGCUUGCAUCGAUGGAGAUUUUAACUAUUCCAAACGACUGCUAGAGAGCGGUUUCGACCCCAAUAUUCGUGACAGCCGAGGCCGAACUGGCCUUCACCUUGCUGCAGCCAGAGGAAAUGUGGACAUCUGUCAACUCUUGCAUAAAUUUGGUGCUGACUUACUAGCCACCGACUACCAAGGUAACACAGCCCUUCACCUGUGUGGGCAUGUGGACACCAUCCAGUUCCUAGUUUCUAAUGGACUUAAAAUUGAUAUUUGCAAUCACCAAGGUGCAACACCGCUUGUGCUGGCAAAACGAAGGGGUGUGAAUAAGGAUGUGAUUAGACUGCUGGAAUCUUUAGAGGAGCAAGAGGUGAAAGGAUUUAACAGAGGAGCUCACUCAAAGCUGGAAACCAUGCAAACUGCUGAAAGCGAAAGUGCAAUGGAAAGCCAUUCCCUCCUUAAUCCAAACCUACAGCAAGGUGAAGGAGUUCUUUCCAGUUUCCGGACGACAUGGCAAGAGUUUGUGGAAGACCUGGGCUUCUGGAGGGUCCUGCUCCUCAUCAUUGUCAUUGCUCUUCUGUCGCUUGGAAUAGCAUACUAUGUUAGUGGGGUGCUUCCUUUUGUAGAAAACCAGCCUGAACUGGUGCACUGAAGCAAAUGCGAAGAAGUGCACCAUGGUUUUCCCUGUUCUAAUGUUAUUUUGAGCUUCUUGGAAUUAUUGUCUUGGUGCAGGCAGUGGCAGCUGUAGAUACUGUUUGCCUUUUGUACUUAUUAUUAACCCCUUUGAAAGAGGGAUUCAUUCGUUUCAAGUAAAACACUAAAUUCUAAAGCAUUCCUAAGCUACCUCUGACUUACCUUGACUUGCAAAUAAGAUGUGAAGAUAAUCCUCUCUGUUGAUAAAAUAUUAUUAUUAGAAAAGGCCUUUCAUAAUGAAUACUAAAUUCCUGGGCGUGAGAAAUACAUCCUAGUACAGAACCAAAUUUGAUUUAUUUUCCCUAUGAAGAGGUAAAUCUAUUGUUGGAUUUUUUGUGUGUGCUCCAGUUGAAAGAAGAAUAUUCUUUUAGAAGUCCUCCUCAAGAAAUCUGAAUAAUAUAAUAAUGCAUACUGAUAUAUAGACAGUAAUAAGCUGCAACUUCGUAGUUCUUUUAAUGCCUCCCCAUAAUUUCAUAUCUGCUAGUUUAUGAAAAGAAUGAGAAAUAGUUUGAGUUUUUCUGUGUCUUUAAUGUAUAGAUCAUUCCUUUAUUUACUAGUUUAAUGUAGUGUUUCUUCCCUACAUGGAUUUAAUGUUGUUAAUACCUGCCUGAAGUAAAUCUUGUAGAACAAAGCUGCUUGUUGUGCUUUGGAAAUAAAGUUGUUUCAGCCUUAGGCUGAAAAUUUUGCCUUUUUGUUGAAAUGUUGCUAAGCAAACGUUUCUUUGUGAGGGUGGUUAAAAAGCGAUUUAGGUGUUCUGCUGUGUAUAUAGUAACUCUGUAAGGUCAUUGUGUUUGUGAAAUAUGUCAUGAAGGAUAACUUCUUAUUCUGCCCGCAGGGACCAGAGUGAACCAUACAAUUAGUAUUGUUUUCAUGUUUGUGGAGAGAACUAGAUUGAAUAGAAUUUGUUUAUUAUUACAUUAGUGCAUGGUAAUGGUGCUACCCCAUUUUACUGAGGUAGGUUGUUGCACAUUGGUAAUGAGCAUUUCAGACGUGGGGAGGUUCCUGCCCUGAGAAAUGGUAACCACACUCUCGGUAUAAAUGAGGUUUUAGAGCAUGGUUUCUUUAGAUUUGCCUGGUUUAUUUUCUCUGAUGUUACUGAAUUGAAGUUGCUGUCUGGUCUGUCUCUCUCUUAUGUAAGAUUUCAGGUAUUGAGCAUGUGGUCUAAAGGCCCCUUGAGAUUUAUGGUUAUCUAUGAGGGUGUACAAAGUGUAACCAAGAAAACAAAGUUUGAGCCUCAAGUAGCCUUUCCUACUUCGCUGUGCUUCACUUCUGCUGUAUGCAUAAGUAGCUUCAGAACUGUGCAUUGAAAAGGUUUGAAAAAUCAUGUGUAUGUUCCAAAUUAACGUAUUUUCACUUUUUAAACCCAAAGAGAUCCAAAGCAGUGUUUGAACUUCACUGUGUAAUGACUGCUACUCUUUGAAAUAAGGAUGUGAUAAACAUCUGACUACAAGAGGAGUUUGUUGUGUAUAUACCUCUGUUACUGAAAAAGGGCAGCUGUGCCUUCCAAUAUAACGGUAAACAUUAGCACCUUCCUUUUCAAAGGUUGAUUCUAAAGAAUUAAUUUACCUCCUGUACACUAGAUUUCAAGGAAUACAAUGUGUCUCUUUACAAACAGACUUUAGCCUACUUCCUCUUGAAGCUGUUGUCAUAGGGAGUUUUGCUGUUUCAGCAUAAUGAUAUAGAUCAGUUCAGAUUGUCUAUAGGGCAAUAAAAUUUCUUUUAUUUAGUUACUGUUGCAGUCUAGAUACCUUGAUCCAGGGAGUCCAUUUUGCUGAAGCGCUCUUCAAAUCCAAGAUAGGUUGUUGUUUCAAGCUGUUCUCAGGCUAAUGAGCUAAAACAGAAUAAGUAAUUGAGAGAGAAAACAAGCAUGGAGGGAUUAAGUGAUUUUUUCCAGUGUUAUAGAACUUGGUGGACAAGAUCAUGCAAGGUAAACUGGAGCGUAAAACAGGUGCAUUUAGGCUAUACUGCAGUGGGCUGUCCCUGUGCUCACGUUUAUUCCACACCUGUCUUACCUCAUAGUAGCUUGUUCAUGUACCAUAUAUUUUUAUCUUCAGUGCCUUCUGUUUUCACUCAUAUUGGUAGUUUGCUUUGUAGAAGGGGAUGAUCUGUUGUGUGACUGUCAUGGGUAGGUAUUGUUUCUGGUUGCCACAAUGCAACAGGUAUUUCAUUACUGGACAUGAUCUGGCGCUGUGAGGAGUAUCAUCAUGGAAAGCUCCUAUGAGAGGAAGAACAUGGUUUCACUUUAAAUUAUUGAAACAGAAGAUUUAGUCAGUUUUGGGGUCUGCAGCUGAUCUGGAGAUUGAUUUUAGCAUGAGUCAUCUCUGGUUUUAGUAUCUUAAUUCAAAAGUAUCACCUGGCCCAUAUAUUGUAGAUGGGCUAGGUAGCGAUUUUUCUAAUCAGAAUAUGUUUGGUCAUAAUACAUUAGAGAAAUGCAAAUUAAGUAAUUUAUUCAGAAAUUCAGUAGCAUCAUUUUAAAGUAAUACUAAAAAGUGCAAAUUGCAAAUGAAAACUCUCCUACAAACUCAAAAAAAAGGGUAGUGUUGUCGUCACAUUCAGAAUUUGCAGAAGUCUAGCAUAUGUUUAAAUGUUACCUGAAGUUGAAUUUUAACAGAGCUGAUUUCCUCAGCUGACACACAAGUUAACUUGUUUCUUUAAGCCAGUCGUUUUUGAAGUUGUUCCUGUUUCUGAAGCCAGCUCUUUGUUUAACUCAGAUUCGCAUUGGUGACUAAAAUAAGUCUUAAAUGACGUGAGAAUUACGUCAGAAUGCUUUUCCUUCGUUCAGUGUUCAUUUCUUACAUUUCAACGUUAAUCCUUGUAGAUUGGUUACUUGGGAUACACUUUCCUAAAUCAUCCAGAAUGAUGUAGAAAUUGUUGCAAAUCGUUACUGCAUUUCUCAUCCCUGGUGUUGGGGCUUUCUAGAAGAAUUCAAACGUCAUUGCACAGUUUCAUAACCUGCAGUUCUCUGUAAGUGCUGAAAUACUGUUGAAUCAUGAAUCUUGAAUCUCUAUUAACAUGAUGAAAUUAGUUUCUGGUGGCAGUCGAGAUAAUUCUGUACCUGCACUCGCAGGGUAGUGUGAUUCACCUGUUAUCUUAAACUUAUUAAAAUGCUUCAGCUGA